ACAAAUUGAUAUGUUUUUUCUCAGUUCGGAAAUUCAUGAACCGUAAACAUAUUUGUAUAGACACAUACACUUAAGUGGAAUGUUGAAUGCCUAAAGAAUCUUGAAAUAGUUAUAACUGUAACUGCAUUUGUAUCUUGGUUAAAGUAAUCGGAUGGUGUUUAUAGAACAAGGAUUCAGUGCAUCCAGACUAUUUUUUACUGUUGCUUUGCUGCCAAUAGGAAAUUCAUUAGCACAGAAAACAGAAGAGGAUACUAAAGUUCUGACAAAUAAUGUUCCGAUAUCCAUUUUUGAAGUUUGUGACGAGAUGUACGUUCUGCAUUGGCCCCCUAGCUUUCUUUAAAGAUCAACUGGAUACUGUAUCGUCUUUAAGAAAGGCAAUGGAAUUUGUGCCAUCUUCAAGAGUCACUGAUUUUGAGUCACUUUACGAAGGUGCUCAUGUAAGAGGUUGCUGGUUUGAUGUAUACGAUAAUCAUGCUAUUGUCACAAAGAUCGACAAAAAAGCAGGAAAAUUCACACUUAUUCACUUUAGUGGUGAUGGCAGAAACAACCUUCAAAACAAAGUAGCAAUACAUGAAGACACGAUGAAAUUGUGUAGAAACAUAAAUGUUUCGCUGGUAACCUAUAGCACUUCCACAACACAGUUAAAACGAUUACCGAAUCAAGUUUCCGUUGCUGUUGCCCAAUACUUUAGAGAUAAUGCUGAUAUAAUUCAAUCGUAUGAUUUAUUGAAAAAUGAUUGCGACCAUCUAAUUUUGUCGUGUACUCUAGGAUAUGCACUAAGUUUUCAAGAAAUGAAGCCACUUUCUGUUGCUUUUUUUGGCCUUGGCGAUGGUUAACACUAGAGCUGUGAAUGUACUGAUGAAGUAUCUGCUGACCAAACAGGUUGUUCGUUAUAAUGAAGGUGAUGAGUACGUUACACUCAUAUUACCGUUUGAGGAAGUCAGAAUUCCUUUCAAAAAGUGAAUAGCACAAUAUUUGUACACAACAGAAAUAAUAUUAAUCAUGUUGUGUUUUCCAAAUGCUUUUUUCGUACUUUUCAUCGCUAUAAUGUAUUUAUAACAUAAUAUUCAAAAAUGUAACCUAUAUAUCACCAAUAAAUGCCUUAUAGAGAAUUAAAUUUUGGCGAAUCUCUCUGGCAUAAUUUUGAAA